AUUGAACGCUGGCGGUAUGCCUAACACAUGCAAGUCGAACGAGUGGCAGACGGGUGAGUAAUGCGUAGGUAUCCACCUUUUAGUCUAGUAUAACUACCCGAAAGGGUGGCUAAUACUGGAUUCUAAGCGAUGCGCCUAUGUGGGAUUAGUUAGUUGGUGGGGUAAUGGCUCACCAAGGCGACGAUCUCUAGCUGGUCUGAGAGGAUGAGCAGCCACACGGGGACGGAGACACGGCCCAGACUCCUACGGGAGGCAGCAGUGGGGAAUAUGGCGCAAUGGGGGCAAGCCGGACGCAGCCAUGCCGCGUGAAGGAAGAAGGCCUUCGGGUUGUAAAGUUCUUUCAGUAGCGAGACGUUAACUACAGAAGAAGCACCGGCUAACUCCGUGCCAGCAGCCGCGGUAAUUC
rnacentral:rRNA from 1 species